GCAGCGACGCCGCGUGAGGGAUGACGGCCUUCGGGUUGUAACCCUCUUUCAGCAGGGAAGAAGCGAAAGUGACGGUACCUGCAGAAGAAGCGCCGGCUAACUACGUGCCAGCAGCCGCGGUAAUACGUAGGGCGCAAGCGUUAUCCGGAAUUAUUGGGCGUAAAGAGCUGGUAGGCGGUUUGUCGCGUCUGCUGUGAAAGCCCGGGGCUCAACCCCGGGUCUGCAGUGGGUACGGGCAGACUAGAGUGCAGUAGGGGAGACUGGAAUUCCUGGUGUAGCGGUGAAAUGCGCAGAUAUCAGGAGGAACACCGAUGGCGAAGGCAGGUCUCUGGGCUGUAACUGACGCUGAGGAGCGAAAGCAUGGGGAGCGAACAGGAUUAGAUACCCUGGUAGUCCAUGCCGUAAACGUUGGGCACU
rnacentral:rRNA from 1 species